rnacentral:rRNA from 1 species
CCUACGGGUGGCAGCAGUGAGGAAUAUUGGUCAAUGGACGCUAGUCUGAACCAGCCAUGCAGCGUGCAGGAUGACGGCCCUAUGAGUUGUAAACUGCUUUUGUACGGGGAUAAAUUGCGGUACGUAUAUUGCUUUGCAUGUAUCUUACGAAUAAGGAUCGGCUAACUCCGUGCCAGCAGCCGCGGUAAUACGGAGGAUUCAAGCGUUAUCCGGAUUUAUUGGGUUUAAAGGGAGCGUAGGCGGGUCGAUAAGUUAGAUGUGAAAUCUCGCGGCUCAACCCCGGCACUGCCUCUGAUACUGGCAGGCUAGAGUUUAGUAGAGGUAGGCGGAAUGUAUGGUGUAGCGGUGAAAUGCAUAGAGAUCACACAGAACACCGAUUGCGAAGGCAGCCUACCAAACUACGACUGACGCUGAGGCACGAAAGUGUGGGUAGCAAACAGGAUUAGAUACCCGUGUAGUC